rnacentral:rRNA from 1 species
GAAGAGCGUCUGUUAAUGUUGCUGCGCUUGAAACGCUCGUCGUUGAAUCUCUGGCAAUUGCCUACGGACACUUCUAUUGUGGUACCGUAGGAAAGUGCCUUUUUGUAUCUAUUCGUCGUUGAUUCACUUAAUUGUGUGUCACGUUCGAGAGCCACUUUCACUUUGGAGAAAUCAGUGUGCUCAUAACAGGCUUAUGCCUGCAUAUAACUGCAUGGGAUGAUGAAACUGGGCCUUUGACUCGUUUCGUUGGUUUACGAUUGCAAAGGCCAUGAUUAAUCGGGACAGACGGGGGCAUUCGUAUUGCGUCGAUAGAAGUGAAAUUCGGUGACCGACGUAAGACGAACAAUCGCGAAAGCAUUUGCCAAGAAUGUUUUCAUUAAUCAAGAACGAAAGUUAGAGUAUCGAAGACGAUUAGAUACCGUCCUAGUUCUAACUGUAAACGAUGCCAACCAGGGUUUCGUCAUAGCUUAUAUGCUUGACGAGCACCCUCCGGGAAACCUGAGUAAUCGGGUUCCGGGGGGAGUAUGGUUGCAGAAUCGAAACUUAAAGGAAUUGACGGAAGGGCACACCAGGAGUGGAGCCUGCGGCUUAAUUUGACUCAACGCACGAUAGCCGACUCGGUCCGAACACUUGAAGGAUUGACAGACUGAAAGCUCUUUCUUGAUUUAGUGGGUAGCGGUGCAUGGCCGUUCGUUGUUGGUGAAGUGAUUUGUCUGGUUUAUUCCGAUAACGAACGAGACUCUGGCCUAUUAACUAGCGUAACGUCUUUUUACGUUAUUGAUUGGCUUCUUAAAGGGACAAGUGCUUUCGAAGCACGCGAAAAAGAGCAAUAACAGGUCUGUGAUGCCCUUCGAUGUUCGAGGCUGCACGCGCGCUACAAUGGAGAGCCUAGAGCGUACUAUGUGUUUUGACAAAAAUGCAGAACCGUGAGCGGCCUCCGUUAUUGGGAUCGGAGCUUGAAAUUAUUCCUCGUCAACGAGGAAUUUCUAGUAAGCAUGAGUCAUUACCUCGUGCUGAUUAAGUCCCUGCCCUUUGUACACACCGCCCGUCGCUACUACCGAUCGAACGGUUCGAUGAGGUCUUUUGACUGUCGCAACGUGUGUUUAUACUCACGUUGCAAUUAUGAAAGCUGAUCAAGUUGGACCGUUUAGAGGAAGUAAAAGUCGUAACAAGGUUUCUGUAGGUGAACCUG